AUUGAACGCUGGCGGCAUGCCUUACACAUGCAAGUCGAACGGUAACAGGUCUUCGGAUGCUGACGAGUGGCGAACGGGUGAGUAAUACAUCGGAACGUGCCUAGUAGUGGGGGAUAACUACUCGAAAGAGUGGCUAAUACCGCAUGAGAUCUACGGAUGAAAGCAGGGGAUCGCAAGACCUUGUGCUACUAGAGCGGCCGAUGGCAGAUUAGGUAGUUGGUGGGAUAAAAGCUUACCAAGCCGACGAUCUGUAGCCGGUCUGAGAGGACGAUCAGCCACACUGGGACUGAGACACGGCCCAGACUCCUACGGGAGGCAGCAGUGGGGAAUUUUGGACAAUGGGCGCAAGCCUGAUCCAGCAAUGCCGCGUGCAGGAUGAAGGCCUUCGGGUUGUAAACUGCUUUUGUACGGAACGAAAAGCCCCGGGUUAAUACCCUGGGGUCAUGACGGUACCGUAAGAAUAAGCACCGGCUAACUACGUGCCAGCAGCCGCAGUAACAC
rnacentral:rRNA from 1 species